CAAUGGGCGUAAGCCUGAACCAGCCAAGUCGCGUGAGGGAUGAAGGUUCUAUGGAUCGUAAACCUCUUUUAUAAGGGAAUAAAGUGUGGGACGUGUCCUAUUUUGUAUGUACCUUAUGAAUAAGGAUCGGCUAACUCCGUGCCGGCAGCCGCGGUAAUACGGAGGAUCCGAGCGUUAUCCGGAUUUAUUGGGUUUAAAGGGUGCGUAGGCGGCCUUUUAAGUCAGCGGUGAAAGUCUGUGGCUCAACCAUAGAAUUGCCGUUGAAACUGGGGGGCUUGAGUAUGUUUGAGGCAGGCGGAAUGCGUGGUGUAGCGGUGAAAUGCUUAGAUAUCACGCAGAACCCCGAUUGCGAAGGCAGCCUGCCAAGCCAUGACUGACGCUGAUGCACGAAAGCGUGGGGAUCAAACAGGAUUAGAUACCCUGGUAGUCCACGCAGUA
rnacentral:rRNA from 1 species